ACGCGCUUCUUUUUUUCCAAUUCAGAUUAUAUUACUUUCAAUAUGUGUUUCUGCCAAUCUGAGUUGCGUGUAGGAGAAGUUUCUGUCACUUGGCUUAUAAAACUCUGAAGCAAUCCAAUUUUAACAGGGCAAAGUACAUGUGGCUUAUGUUGUAUCUGCGGGCUAAUGCUGCACAAGGUUUUAAUGGUGGUUAUUACUAUAAUGGCCGUGGCAUGAUGAUGACCAAAGCUACCAGAGUCUCCAAACUUCAAAGUAAGGCUUGAUGCUAAACUCGGUAGAAACAACCAAUUUUACCUGAUCGAUAUCGAAUCUGUUGGAAGAACAAUGGAAAUCCAUGUGAUGGAGAUGUUUUGACAGAUGUAACUAGAUACAUCGAGAUGAUAAUCAACCCGACAACUACGAGCUGGUGUCGUCGAGAUAGUUUAGUGUCAAUGUCCUCCAUAUCAUACAAGUGCCUCGGGUGAGAUCAUCUAUAUCGCAGCCCUGAAAACGCUGAACAUCUAGAGAAACCGCAUGAUAUAUGUGAUCCAUAUAGUAACCCUCAAGCCUCAAGCACAAGAGUUGGUCCAAAUUCUGCCUCAUCCAGGAUGGUCGGUCCACGGAUAUCCUGAUAAGCAAGGAGAUGAUUGGAUUGGGGACUUGGCUUGAAUCUAAUCUGGCUUUGUGGACAGGACCAGGGAACCAAAUCAGUAAAGCGAGUGUGGACAUCGAUCAGUGUUGGUACAGAAAUAUAUGUUUGCAAUAGACAAGAAGAGUGACUUUGAUGUUUUUGUUCCAAAACAAACAAUCCUCGUGAACAUGGAGGUUGUAGCAACACUAGUCGCUUUUGCUUUCCAUUUUUUUUAUUCUCACUAAUUUGUAUUUAUUUUCUGUCAGUAAAAUUCACAAGCGAAAGCUCAUAUGCCUCGAUUACACAUGAUGUCUUCUUUCUGUUUAAUUUUGUGAACCUGAUACAUAAAAAUAUAUGAAAAGGAAUCAUUUUCUUUUUA